rnacentral:rRNA from 1 species
ACCUGCGGAGGGAUCAUUACCGAGUUUACAACUCCCAAACCCCUGUGAACAUACCUAUUUGUUGCCUCGGCGGUGCCUGUUCCGACAGCCCGCCAGAGGACCCCAAACCCUGAUUACAUUUAAGAAGUCUUCUGAGUAAACCGAUUAAAUAAAUCAAAACUUUCAACAACGGAUCUCUUGGUUCUGGCAUCGAUGAAGAACGCAGCGAAAUGCGAUAAGUAAUGUGAAUUGCAGAAUUCAGUGAAUCAUCGAAUCUUUGAACGCACAUUGCGCCCGCUAGUAUUCUGGCGGGCAUGCCUGUCCGAGCGUCAUUUCAACCCUCAAGCCCCCGGGCUUGGUGUUGGGGAUCGGCGAGCCUCCGCGCCCGCCGUCCCCUAAAUCUAGUGGCGGUCUCGCUGUAGCUUCCUCUGCGUAGUAGCACACCUCGCACUGGGAAACAGCGCGGCCACGCCGUUAAACCCCCAACUUCUGAACGUUUGACCUCGGAUCAGGUAGGAAUACCCGCUGAACUUAAGCAUAUCAAUA